rnacentral:rRNA from 1 species
GAUUGAGAAGUCUGCUGGAGGUAUCACGAGUGCGAAUGCUGACAUGAGUAACGAUAAGGGGAGUGAAAAACUCCCCCGCCGGAAGACCAAGGUUUUCUGUUCUACGUUAAUCGGAGCAGAGUGAGUCGGCCCCUAAGGCGAGGCGGAAACGCGUAGUCGAUGGGAAACGGGUUAAUAUUCCCGUACCGGAUAUGGUUGCGAUGGGGGGACGAAGAAGGCUAGGUGAGCCAGGCGUUGGUUGUCCUGGUGAAAGCAUGUAGGCCGAGGAAUCAGGCAAAUCCGGUUCCUCUGAGGUCGAGAUGCGAGACGAACUGACUACGGUCAGGAAGUUGCCGAUGCCACGCUUCCAGGAAAAGCCUCUAAGCUUCAGAUCAUAUGCGACCGUACCCCAAACCGACACAGGUGGUCAGGUAGAGAAUACCAAGGCGCUUGAGAGAACUCGGGUGAAGGAACUAGGCAAAAUGGCACCGUAACUUCGGGAGAAGGUGCACCGGUUUGAGUGAAGGACUUGCUCCGUAAGCUCUUACCGGUCGAAGAUACCAGGUGGCUGCAACUGUUUAUUAAAAACACAGCACUCUGCAAACGCGCAAGCGGACGUAUAGGGUGUGACGCCUGCCCGGUGCCGGAAGGUUAAUUGAUGGGGUUAGGAUUCGUCCGAAGCUCUUGAUCGAAGCCCCGGUAAACGGCGGCCGUAACUAUAACGGUCCUAAGGUAGCGAAAUUCCUUGUCGGGUAAGUUCCGACCUGCACGAAUGGCGUAAUGAUGGCCACGCUGUCUCCACCCGAGACUCAGUGAAAUUGAAAUCGCAGUGAAGAUGCUGUGUACCCGCGGCUAGACGGAAAGACCCCGUGAACCUUUACUAUAGCUUUACACUGGAUGCUGAUGUUGUCUGUGUAGGAUAGCUGGGAGGCUUGGAAACCUGGGCGCUAGCUCAGGUGGAGCCAACCUUGAAAUACCAGCCUGACAUCAUUGGCGUUCUAACUCAGGUCCCUUAUCGGGAUCGAGGACAGUGUAUGGUGGGUAGUUUGACUGGGGCGGUCUCCUCCUAAAGAGUAACGGAGGAGCACGAAGGUACCCUCAGCACGGUUGGAAAUCGUGCAUUGAGUGCAAGAGCAUAAGGGUGCUUGACUGCGAGACAGACACGUCGAGCAGGUACGAAAGUAGGUUCUAGUGAUCCGGUGGUUCUGUAUGGAAGGGCCAUCGCUCAACGGAUAAAAGGUACUCCGGGGAUAACAGGCUGAUACCGCCCAAGAGUUCACAUCGACGGCGGUGUUUGGCACCUCGAUGUCGGCUCAUCACAUCCUGGGGCUGAAGUCGGUCCCAAGGGUAUGGCUGUUCGCCAUUUAAAGUGGUACGCGAGCUGGGUUUAGAACGUCGUGAGACAGUUCGGUCCCUAUCUGCCGUGGGCGUCGGAAGUUUGAGAAGAGCUGCUCCUAGUACGAGAGGACCGGAGUGGACGAACCUCUGGUGUUCGGGUUGUCACGCCAGUGGCAUUGCCCGGUAGCUACGUUCGGACGGGAUAACCGCUGAAAGCAUCUAAGCGGGAAGCCCCCUUCAAGAUGAGACUUCCCUGAGGCCUUGCGCCUCCUGAAGGGCCCUUGA